ACAGGUUUUUGUGUGUACCAAAAAUGCAAUUAUUUUGCUAUGGCAACCUUCGUCUGGGGCAACAACCGGAUAAAAACUAUAAUACAAACUAAUAAUAUAUAAUAAUAUUACAAACAGUAAAAUUUUUCCAAAUAGAGUAUACCCAAGGAAAACAUAAAAAUCGUACGAGCCGUUUAGGAGCAGCCUGCAAUGGGUUAAUGUGUUUGGUAUUUCUCAUUCCUAAGAAUAGAAUUCGAAAAUACCGCUAUGCAUUUAUCGAACAACUAACGUCACCUCCAUUGUUUACGCGUCGCCAUAGCAGCCAACAAAAAAAUUGCGUAUGUCGUCUGAAAGCACUUAUCUAUUCAUAUUUACCUUUAAGGGCAUUCUCUUGAGAUGACGCGACUGUGCCUGUGCCUAGUAUACCCAAGGAAAACAUAAAAAUCGUACGAGCCGUUUAGGAGCAGCCUGCAAUGGGUUAAUGUGUUUGGUAUUUCUGAUUCCUAAGAAUAGAAUUCCAAAAUACCGCUAUGCAUUUAUCGAACAACUAACGUCACCUCCAUUGUUUACGCGUCGCCAUAGCAGCCAACAAAAAAAUUGCGUCUGUCGUCUGAAAGCACUUAUCUAUUCAUAUUUACCUUUAAGGGCAUUCUCUUGAGAUGACGCGACUGUGCCUGUGCCUAGUAUACCCAAGGAAAACAUAAAAAUCGUACGAGCCGUUUAGGAGCAGCCUGCAAUGGGUUAAUGUGUUUGGUAUUUCUGAUUCCUAAGAAUAGAAUUCCAAAAUACCGC